CACGGAGUUAGCCGGAGCUUACAAAUGGUACCGUCAUCACGAACGGUAUUAGCGCUCGUUCAUUCUUCCCAUUCUUGCGAAGUUUACAUCCCGAGGGAUUUCAUCCUUCACGCGGCGUUGCUGGGUCAGGCUUUCGCCCAUUGCCCAAAAUUCCCGA
rnacentral:rRNA from 1 species